UCAUGAGAUAAUCAGAGUAAACAUGAGGGAAUACCUGAUAUAGAACGACCCAACCUGAUAUAGAAACUCAUAUUUGUGACAUUCGGGCCUAUAAGGCCAAUGUGAUCUAUUAUAUACUUAAUAUAUAGGCCGACAAGGCCAUACAAGUAUCCAUAUACAUGACAUCUGUCUACAAGUCUCUAAAAGUACAUACUUAUCAUAAAGGUCGGGACAGGGCCCAGCCAUACCAAACAAUAUACGUCUAUAUCAUACUGACCAAACAAGCAACUCCGGAGCAAAUGGAGCGCACCAACAUCUUCUGCUGAGCUGAUAGCCUACUUGGAGGACUCUCGACCUGUCUAUCGGGACCUGCGGGCAUGAAACGCAGCGUCCCCAGGUAAAAGGGACGUCAGUACAAAUAAUGUACCGAGUAUGUAAGAAAUAAAAAUCAGUAAAUAACAAUAGACAUGAGAGUGACAUGGAAUAAAAGACUCGAAAUGUAUAUCUGAAUAUCUCUGUGAAUCAUUUAAUAUUAUAAUGUCAUGCAUAUGCGUAUAAAUGUCAUACCAUGUAUGGGUAUAUGCAUUCAUAACAUCAUCAAGCCUCUGAGGGCAUCCCAUCAUAUCACCUCGGCCACUGUGGGCAAAUCAUCAACGUAUACUAGCUAAUCAGGUGGUGGUGCGUAUAUAACGCAGUAACCUUUUCCCAUAUCACAUAUACAUAUGUACACAUAUAAAUACGCGUAUAUAACACCAUCUGGUCAUGGGUCAAUGUACUUGUAUAAAUGCAUGAAAUGCAUAAGAAAUAUGUUAAUAAGAUUUCUCGAAAUGUCAUAAAAAUCAAUGUACCUUUCGUAUAAACUUUAUCAAAUACAUAUAUUUCUGAGACCCAUGAACAGAUGAUAGAAUAAUAUGACACAUGGGGAAUCAAGAACAUAAGCAUCUCUAGUAUUUCUAUGAAUAGAGUCAUUUAUGGUAAUUGUGCAUUUGCUCGUUUCAUUUGUGUCGUAUAGAUCAUGCCAAAAUAAAGAAUGGAUAGUCUUAACAUACCUGAACCGAUUCUCUUGACAAUCCCUCAAAUACACGUCUUUUGUGAAGAACACGUAACUGCGUAUCAAAUUAGGAAAAAAUAUGUAUGAUAUUCUUGAGAAAGAUUGUACCGUACUCCCUUAGAAUCGCGAUUUCAUGCUACUUCAUUUUCAUACGAAUUGUUGAGCUUCAUCCUUUACUUUUGGUGAAGAUUUCAUAUAAACUCUUUGUUUUGAGCUUUCAGCCGUUAGC
rnacentral:lncRNA from 1 species